GCCAGCAUGGCAUAGUGGUUUGAGUGUUGGACACAAGUCUGGAGACCUGGGUUCGAUUCCCAGCUUGGCC